UACGUAGGGGGCAAGCGUUGUCCGGAGUUACUGGGCGUAAAGGGCACGCAGGCGGUCGCGUAAGAGUGACGGGGACAGUGGGCAGGCCUUAACUGCCCAAGGGUCGCACAGACUGCGUGACUAGAGGGCCAGAGAGGGACCUGGAAUUCCGGGUGGAGCGGUGAAAUGCGUAGAGAUCCGGAGGAACACCAAGGCGAAGGCAGGGUCCUGGCUGGUAGCUGACGCUGAGGUGCGAAAGCCAGGGGAGGCGAACGGG
rnacentral:rRNA from 1 species